UGGUGGGGUGACUUGUCUGGUUGAUUUCGAUAACGAACGAGAUCCGAGCUGUUUAGUUGCGAUCAAUACUCUGUAGUAGUGAUCGUUCUUAAAUGGACUAUCAGUGCAAACUGAUGGAAGUUUCGGGCUAAAUCA
rnacentral:rRNA from 1 species